UUUUAACUCAGUGGUAGAGUAAUCCCACGGUAAGGUGUAAGCCCUCGGUUCAAAUCCGAUAAGGGGCU
rnacentral:tRNA from 1 species